rnacentral:rRNA from 1 species
CACGUAGGGGGCGAGCGUUGUCCGGAUUUAUUGGGCGUAAAGAGCUCGUAGGCGGCUCGGUAAGUCGGGUGUGAAACCUCCAGGCUCAACCUGGAGACGCCACCUGAUACUGCUGUGGCUAGAGUCCGGUAGGGGAGUGUGGAACUCCUGGUGUAGCGGUGAAAUGCGCAGAUAUCAGGAAGAACACCAGCGGCGAAGGCGGCACUCUGGGCCGGAACUGACGCUGAGGAGCGAAAGCGUGGGUAGCAAACAGGA